ACAGUUUCAGGGUUUGGGACACCAGCGCUUGUGCCCCAGAAUAACACGUUGCAAAUGAAGAGCCUGGAGAGCCUAGGCAGUGAGGAAAUCCAGUAGGUCUGGCUCAUCUAGAAGCUAUUCCAUGCUCCCCAGCCCACUACGGGGGAGCUUUGGAUUCCCUCCCAGAAGACAAGACCUCUUGCUCCCUAUCCCUGCUCCCACAGAAAUGUGCUGAGAUGCUCCCCAUCUCCCACCCCUACCGGCAUGGUGCCUGUCACUGUAAACCAGAAAUCCAAGGUGACAGUCCCCAAGCCACAGCUGCCUGGGCAUGACUGUCUUCCUGUAGGUCCGCGGGUCAAGGGCAGGCUGGGUAUCUCCUGUCUUUAAGCUGGCGGGGGUGGGGAAUACCCUCUCUCUUGCUAGUUCAGGAAAGAAGGAAGUCACGAUUGGUCCAUGUAGCCACUGAGUAACCCUGGGGUGUAUUUGUGCUUGCCAAUUUGAAAACCAUUUUGCAAAAUAGUUGACAGGGGACCGAGCUAUGGAGUGUGUAGCCAGGUCCAUGGGCAGGAGGUGACAACCAUCAUGGAACCCUUGGUCUAAUGUGUUACGUAACCGAGGGAAGCUGGAUAUGGGGGUUCAAACAAGCACUCCAACCCCUCUCAAGAGCUGCAGAAAUCAAGUCACCCCCUCAGGAGCCAGAAGGAGGGGAAAUAGCAUCAGGAUCUCAAUUCCCAGCAUCAUCACUUUGGACAACCUCUUUGGCCCUCAGUUUUUUCACUCCUAUGUUACAAGGAUCAAAUUAGAGGAUCCUGAAAGGUCAUCCAAGCCAAAAACAUCCUCCGUCUCUGACUUGAGAAGUGAUAGGCAAAGCCGGUGCUUCCUGCAGAAGGCAGGAGGGAAUGGGGGUGCCGCCCUUCCUCAUGCCCUCAAAA
rnacentral:lncRNA from 10 species